rnacentral:rRNA from 1 species
UACGUAGGGGGCAAGCGUUGUCCGGAUUUAUUGGGCGUAAAGAGCUCGUAGGCGGUUCGGUAAGUCGGGUGUUAAACCCCCAGGCUCAACCUGGGGACGCCACUCGAUACUGCUGUGACUUGAGUCCGGUAGGGGAGCGUGGAAUUCCUGGUGUAGCGGUGAAAUGCGCAGAUAUCAGGAGGAACACCAGCGGCGAAGGCGGCGCUCUGGGCCGGUACUGACACUGAGGAGCGAAAGCGUGGGUAGCAAACAGG